GUGUGGACACAGAUGAGUGUGGAUAGUAUGUUUGGAUGUUUGACAGUGUUUUAUGAUAAAUGUAGUUCUAUGAUUUUCCUAUAUGUGUUAUUAACUGUGUUGCACGAUGACAACCAACCUGAGCAUUAGGAGUGUUGUUUAUUUUAUAUUUAGUUUAGUUUUCAUGUUCAAGACGGGCAUGGAAGAGACACUAAUUGCAUUAGUUACCAAAUGAUU
rnacentral:lncRNA from 1 species